CAAUAGCGUAUAUUAAAGUUGUUGCGGUUAAAAGCUCGUAGUUGGAUUUCUGCUUGAAGCGACCGGUCCACACUAUGUGUUGGUAUCUGGCGAGCUUUGGGCAUCCUCCUGGAGAACGUGUUUCUGCACUUGAUUGUGUGGCGCGGAAUCUGGGACUUUUACUUUGAGGAAAUUAGAGUGUUCACUGCAGGCUUGUCCUGAAUACAUUAGCAUGGAAUAAUCAUAUAGGACCUCGGUUCUAUUUUGUCGGUUUCUAGAGCUGAGGUAAUGAUUAACAGGGAUAGUUGGGGGCAUUCGUAUUUAACUGUCAGAGGUGAAAUUCUUGGAUUUGUUAAAGACGAACUACUGCGAAAGCAUUUGCCAAGGAUGUUUUCAUUGAUCAAGAACGAAAGUUAGGGGAUCGAAGACGAUCAGAUACCGU
rnacentral:rRNA from 1 species